rnacentral:lncRNA from 10 species
GUGACCUUCCCGGGCGUCCAGGGAAGCGGCGAGAGCUGCCACGCACGUGCCGCGGGACCCGCGCGCCGCCCAGGGAUGGCCCGCCGGGGUCGCUGGAGAAUCUCAGGGUCAUCGGCCUCCUUCCCCCAGUGCCUACCUGGAUAUGUGGUGCCUGUCAUAAGGUCCAGCGAGCUGCCUUCCACGAGACCAGCAGAAGAGUGGGCAAACGUGAAGUCCAGUCCUGCUGCCCAGGCUGCCAUUGACCUCACGGCGGGGGCUGCAGGGUAGUUAGAAACCACGCAAGAGAUCGCGGAGCCAAGGAGGCCGAA